GACGAACGCUGGCGGCGCGCUUAACACAUGCAAGUCGAGCGAGAACCAGACCUUCGGGUCUGGGGACAGCGGCGAACGGGUGAGUAACACGUGGGUAAUCAACCCUCGGUACUGGGAUAGCCCGGGGAAACCCGGAUUAAUACCGGAUGGCCCUUCGGAUCUUCGGUUCCGAAGGAAAAGGUAGCUUCGGCCUCCGACCGAGGACGAGCCUGCGGCGGAUUAGCUUGUUGGUGGGGUAACGGCCUACCAAGGCGGCGAUCCGUAGCUGGUCUGAGAGGACGAUCAGCCACACUGGGACUGAGACACGGCCCAGACUUCUACGGAAGGCAGCAGUGGGGAAUCUUGCGCUAAUGCGGGAAACCGUGACGCAGCGACGCCGCGUGAGGGAAGAAGGCCUUCGGGUUGUAAACCUCUUUCAGAAGGGACGAAGCUACUCGGGUUAAUAGCCCAGAGGGUGACGGUACCUUCAGAAGAAGCCCCGGCUAACUACGUGCCAGCAGCCGCAGUAA
rnacentral:rRNA from 1 species